rnacentral:rRNA from 1 species
UACGAAGGGUGCAAGCGUUACUCGGAAUUACUGGGCGUAAAGCGUGCGUAGGUGGUGAGUUAAGUCUGUCGUGAAAGCCCCGGGCUCAACCUGGGAAUGGCGAUGGAUACUGGCUCGCUAGAGUGCGGUAGAGGAGAGUGGAAUUCCCGGUGUAGCAGUGAAAUGCGUAGAUAUCAGGAGGAACACCUGUGGUGUAGACGGCUCUCUGGACAGUAACUGACGCUGAGACACGAAAGCGUGGGUAGCAAACAGG